rnacentral:rRNA from 1 species
GACGAACGCUGGCGGCGUGCUUAACACAUGCAAGUCGAACGGAAAGGCCCUGCUUUUGUGGGGUGCUCGAGUGGCGAACGGGUGAGUAACACGUGAGUAACCUGCCCUUGACUUUGGGAUAACUUCAGGAAACUGGGGCUAAUACCGGAUAGGAGCUCCUGCUGCAUGGUGGGGGUUGGAAAGUUUCGGCGGUCGGGGAUGGACUCGCGGCUUAUCAGCUUGUUGGUGGGGUAGUGGCUUACCAAGGCGUUGACGGGUAGCCGGCCUGGGAGGGUGACCGGCCACAUGGGGACUGAGGUACGGCCCAGACUCCUACGGGAGGCAGCAGUGGGGAAUAUUGCACAAUGGGCGGAAGCCUGAUGCAGCAACGCCGCGUGCGGGAUGACGGCCUUCGGGUUGUAAACCGCUUUCGCCUGUGACGAAGCGUGAGUGACGGUAAUGGGUAAAGAAGCACCGGCUAACUACGUG